rnacentral:rRNA from 1 species
GUCCAGACUCCUACGGGAGGCAGCAGUGAGGAAUAUUGGUCAAUGGCCGAGAGGCUGAACCAGCCAAGUCGCGUGAGGGAAGAAUGUCCUAUGGAUUGUAAACCUCUUUUGUCAGGGAGCAAAGUCACCCACGUGUGGGUGUUGGAGAGUACCUGAAGAAAAAGCAUCGGCUAACUCCGUGCCGGCAGCCGCGGUAAUACGGAGGAUCCGAGCGUUAUCCGGAUUUAUUGGGUUUAAAGGGAGCGUAGAUGGGUUGUUAAGUCAGUUGUGAAAGUUUGCGGCUCAACCGUAAAAUUGCAAUUGAUACUGGCAGUCUUGAGUACAGUUGAGGUAGGCGGAAUUCGUGGUGUAGCGGUGAAAUGCUUAGAUAUCACGAAGAACUCCGAUUGCGAAGGCAGCCUGCCGCAGCGUUACUGACGCUGAAGCUCGAAAGCGCGGGUAUCGAACAGGAUUAGAUACCCCCGUAU